ACAGUCACACAAUUAGAUACCCGUGUAGUCCCAGCCGUAAACUAUGCUCGCUAGGUGUCAGGCAUGGCGCGACCGUGUCUGGUGCCGCAGGGAAGCCGUGAAGCGAGCCACCUGGGAAGUACGGCCGCAAGGCUGAAACUUAAAGGAAUUGGCGGGGGAGCACAACAACGGGUGGAGCCUGCGGUUUAAUUGGACUCAACGCCGGACAACUCACCGGGGACGACAGCAAUAUGUAGGCCAGGCUGAAGACCUUGCCUGAAUCGCUG
rnacentral:rRNA from 1 species